rnacentral:rRNA from 1 species
GACGAACGCUGGCGGCGUGCUUAACACAUGCAAGUCGAACGGAAAGGCCCUGCUUUUGUGGGGUGCUCGAGUGGCGAACGGGUGAGUAACACGUGAGUAACCUGCCCUUGACUUUGGGAUAACUUCAGGAAACUGGGGCUAAUACCGGAUAGGAGCUCCUGCUGCAUGGUGGGGGGGGGAAAGUUUCGGCGGGUGGGGAUGGACUCGCGGCUUAUCAGCUUGUUGGUGGGGUAGUGGCUUACCAAGGCUUUGACGGGUAGCCGGCCUGAGAGGGUGACCGGCCACAUUGGGACUGAGAUACGGCCCAGCCUCCUACGGGAGGAAGCAGUGGGGAAUAUUGCACAAUGGGCGGAAGCCUGAUGCAGAAACGCCGCGUGCGGGAUGCCGGCCUUCGGGUUGUAACCCGCUUUCGCCUGUGACGAAGCGUGAGUGACGGUAAUGGGUAAAGAAGCACCGGCUAACUACGUG